rnacentral:rRNA from 1 species
UGGGGAAUAUUGGGCAAUGGGGCGCAAGCCUGACCCAGCAACGCCGCGUGAAGGAAGAAGGCUUUCGGGUUGUAAACUUCUUUUGUCAGGGACGAGGAGAAGACGGUACCUGACGAAUAAGCCACGGCUAACUACGUGCCAGCAGCCGCGGUAAUACGUAGGUGGCAAGCGUUAUCCGGAUUUACUGGGUGUAAAGGGCGCGUAGGCGGGGAUGCAAGUCAGAUGUGAAAUCUAUGGGCUCAACCCAUAAACUGCAUUUGAAACAGUAUCUCUUGAGUGUCGGAGAGGUAGAUGGAAUUCCUAGUGUAGCGGUGAAAUGCGUAGAUAUUAGGAGGAACACCAGUGGCGAAGGCGAUCUACUGGACGAUAACUGACGCUGAGGCGCGAAAGCGUGGGGAG